AUGCUUCAAGGACAUGGUGCCUCACCAGCCUCUUUAUUACAGCAACUGAACUGAAUACCAACAACAUUCCAGUUCCAGCCAUCACAGAAGCUUUCAAGACACCCUGUCAUAACCAGCCCUGUCAUAGCCAAACAAGGGCUGCUGGAGUCACACAAGAGUUUUGGUGCCCCACCCCUUUGGUUAUCCAUGAGUCCCAAACUGUCCACAGCCCGAUUGCCCCCAUGUAGGAACUAGGUCAGCACUUCCUCUGCAGGAUGAGAAUUUGGCUAAUGAGAGGUUGUUAAAUGAGAGGAAGAUGUUUCUUAAUCAGGGACCAGAUACCACCUAAAAACUGCAGAAGUGUGCCAGACCUUUGCAUUAUCACAAGGGGAGUGAAUACACGAUUUGUUACCUCAUAAAAAAAUCACUGAAGGGCUUCAAUGACAUGCAGGACCUUAGGACUCUCAAAACCUCAUCUCACUGGAUCAGGUGCCAGGUCACAUGAACAAAGCAUCAGGUUUGAUGGGGACCAGAGGGUAUCUGCCAGGGUUCUGCAGAAAAGCACCUGCUCAGCUGCCUGUGGGCUUUUCUAUACUACUGCAACAGCACCUUUACAUCUCUACCAGAGCAGAGUAAUUCCCUAGGUCUGCAGGACAUCUGAAGACAUUUCUGAAGACCAGAUAAGAGGAAGCUGAAAAAUUCAGCUUCAGAACCGCACGUGUCUCUGAAACAAUAAAUGUUUUGAGUGAUCAGCA